rnacentral:rRNA from 1 species
AUGAACGCUGGCGGCGUGCCUAAUACCUGCAAGUCGGGCGAACAGAUGAGGAGCUUGCUCCUCUGACGUUAGCGGCGGACGGGUGAGUAACACGUGGAUAACCUACCUAUAAGACUGGGAUAACUUCGGGAAACCGGAGCUAAUACCGGAUAAUAUAUUGAACCGCAUGGUUCAAUAGUGAAAGACGGUUUUGCUGUCCCUUAUAGAUGGAUCCGCGCCGCAUUAGCUAGUUGGUAAGGUAACGGCUUACCAAGGCAACGAUGCGUAGCCGACCUGAGAGGGUGAUCGGCCACACUGGAACUGAGACACGGUCCAGACUCCUACGGGAGGCAGCAGUAGGGAAUCUUCCGCAAUGGGCGAAAGCCUGACGGAGCAACGCCGCGUGAGUGAUGAAGGUCUUCGGAUCGUAAAACUCUGUUAUUAGGGAAGAACAAAUGUGUAAGUAACUAUGCACGUCUUGACGGUACCUAAUCAGAAAGCCACGGCUAACUACGUG